ACUUAUUACAAAUACAUCAUCAUCAUCAUCGUUUAACGUCCAUUUCUUCCUUGUGGUGGACGGGGUAUGAGCCUCCUCCUCCACUGUCCAUUUCCUCCGUGAUGUUCAGCCUCCUCAUAUCUUCCUCCACCUUGGCCUUCUCUUCUGCCUCAAGGUUCAGUUCAGGAUGUGUUCUUCUCCUCACAAACCACCUUAAUCUGGCCUUACUCCUCCAGGCCACUCCUCCCUACCACUUCUUCAUUUGAGAUUCCAUCCUGCCAUGUGAUUGCCGUCAAGUAUCUCAGCAUUCUCACACCACACUAGUGCCUCCAGCUGUUUCCUGCCAGCCCAGGUCUCUGCCCCGCACACACACACACACACACACACACACACACACACACACACACACACACACACACACACACCUGUGCUGCCAGGCGGGAUAUUCUGGUUCACUAGUAAGCCUGCCAGUUCCCUGCACUCUUCCAAGCACAAGCUGUCCUGCCUCUCACUGCUGCCAGGGAAGGAGCCGAGAUGAGACCAGACUCAGCCCUCCAGUGAGCCCAGGUGACCACCAGGGGGACACCCACGCACCUCAUGGCUUAGGGGAAAAUGCAUGAAGGUGGUGGGUGAGUGAAGCAACGCACCCCCUGUGUAUGCUCAGGUCCCAGGCUACGUCAGGAAGGGAGACAGAGACGAGACCACUGAGCCGAGGGAACCAGUCAGGCCUUCAAGAUGCUGCCUGGAUGCUGGGGGAGAAGAGAUGAGACGAGUCCUGUUGGGGAGAAGAUGGAGGGAGAUUGAUUGAAGGGCAGAGAUGAGAGAGAGAGAUGGAACUAACUCUCUCUCUCUGUAUUUCUAUAAAGAGAAGACUAAUAAAGUUUGGAAAUAUAUA